UCUUUAUAGAAAAUAUAAAUCACCAGAACUGAAUGACACGGAAUGGAAACACCAGUGCAUGCACGAGCAUUAAGGAGAAGAAAGCAGGACCAGUUUCAGCAGAGGACCAGGGACCAGAGCAGGUGUGGACACACAGAGAGCAAUCGAAGGUCCCUUCUGUGGCCCGGAACCUGCCCAUGUGAGUGUUAACAAACGGGCAAGCACACAGCAAAAUACAAAGUACCCAGAGCCUAGAAAAGUAAAAUGCCUCAUAGAUGAAAGCCUUGCAUAGCUACAGGGCUCCAAUCGCAACCAAAUCAGAAAACAAAACACACCCAAGCUAAGCCACAAGAAAUCAGAUGGAACCAGAAUUCAGCCUGAGCUAUCCAGAUUGCUCAGUAGAAGAAACACUCCUGGAAUCCAGAGGCUGCCCUUACUGCCGCACCUGUAUUUGCACACCAGAAAGGUAAGAAGCCAGAGCUGAGAACACUGUGCCCCCGCCUGUAUCCUGGUGUCCCAUGAGCAUCGAAUCGAUGGGGUUCAUGAUGGGAACAGAGCACAGCGACACCUGUCACUGUCCUGCCGCUGCCCGGCACCCCCGCUCCUGUCACAAACAGUGUGACUCUGGAAUUCAGAUCCAGAAUGGCCUUGGGCAUCGCUAAUCCAGUCCCCUCACCCUGGAGGAAGCGGGGAUGAGAAAUGUGCUCCAGGUAACUUCAGGCCACGUCUGAUUCUGAGGACUGGAGACCGUGUGAGUCGCACAGUAGGAGCAACUGCACAUCUCCAUGGUCACCUUUUAGAUGAUUCUAUAUAUUUUGUAGUCACAUUUAAAAAAGCAACUCCAAGAAGUCAGCACUUAUUGUCACUAGGGGAAGAAGGGAAUCUGUGUCACUGAGAGCCCUUGUGAUUCCCCCGCAAUCUCAGAUAUAAAUAAAUAAAUAAUAAAAUUUAAAGC
rnacentral:lncRNA from 1 species